GACGAACGCUGGCGGCGUGCUUAACACAUGCAAGUUGAACGAAGUGGCGGAUGGGCGAGUAACACGUGAGUAACCUGCCUUUCACAGGGGCAUAACACUGGGAAACCAGUGCUAAUACCGCAUAGCGACAGAUGGCCUCGCGACUGAUUAGCUCGUCGGUGAGGUAACGGCUCACCUAGGUGAUGCUCAUUAGCCGGACUGGAGGGUGAUCGGCCGCAUUGGGACUGAGACACGGCCCAGACUCCUACGGGGGGCAGCAGUGGGGGAUAUUGCACAAUGGCGAAAGCAUGAUGCAGCGACGCAGCGUGGGGGAUGAAGGCUUUCGGGUGGUAAACCUCGUUCCAUCGAACAGGGUAGGUGGAGAAGAAGCGCCGGCUAACUACGUGCCAGCAGCCGCGGUAAUAC
rnacentral:rRNA from 1 species